AAGUCGUAACAAGGUUUCCGUAGGUGAACCUGCGGAAGGAUCAUUAUUGAAAUAAACCUGAUGGGUUGUUGCUGGUUCUCUAGGGAGCAUGUGCACACCUUGUCAUCUUUAUAUCUCCACCUGUGCACCUUUUGUAGACCUUUUUCAGGUCUAUGUUGCUUCUUCAUUUACCCCCAUGUAUGUUAAUAGAAUGUUGUGCCUGUAUAAUCUAUACAA
rnacentral:misc_RNA from 1 species